CCUACGGGUGGCAGCAGUGAGGAAUAUUGGUCAAUGGACGAGAGUCUGAACCAGCCCAGUAGCGUGAAGGAUGACUGCCCUAUGGGUUGUAAACUUCUUUUAUAUGGGAAUAAAAUGUUCCACGUGUGGGCUUUUGUAUGUACCAUAUGAAUAAGCAUCGGCUACUUCCGUGCCAGCAGCCGCGGUAAUACGGAGGAUCCGAGCGUUAUCCGGCUUUAUUGGGUUUAAAGGGAGCGUAGGUGGAAUGUUAAGUGAGUUGUGAAAGUCCGCGGCUCAACCAUGAAAGUGCAGGGGCAACUGGCAGGCGUGAGUGCAGUAGAGGUAGGCGGAAUUCGUGGUGUAGCGGUGAAAUGCUUAGAUAUCACGAAGAACUCCGAUUGCGAAGGCAGUUCACGGGAGCGCAACUGACACUGAGGCUCGAAGGUGUGGGUAUCAAACAGGAUUAGAUACCCGAGUAGUC
rnacentral:rRNA from 1 species